ensembl:lncRNA
GGGGGGGGGGCGCUCAGGUGGUCGAGUGUUCUUGAGGAAAACCUGCCGCCGUAAAGGAGACGCUGAGGGAGCCACAGGUGAGACCUUGUUGGGACGGAGCUCAGCGAACCAGAGACUGUCGUCUUCACGAGAAGGACGUCUGUAUUCAUGUCGCGUAAUGAAGCUUCUUCUUUGUGUCACGCUGACUCUGAGUUGAGAUGAAUGUGCAGCUCCUCACGGUGUGUGUGAGACAAUGCAGAGGAAACACUCGUUUACACACAAUUAAACGCCGUCAGACAAUAAAGUAAAAGGUACAAAAAUAAAGCUUAUCAAGAAAAUAUUUAAUUAAAGACCGAACAAACGGAAUAAUGUUUCAUUUUAAGCGCGUGAGAAACCUGGAAAGUCAAAUUUGACUUGAUGUGAUGUGAGUGAGCUGAAGCAGAAAACAGACACACGCCGUUGUUGUUGUUGUUGUUUAUUAACGGGACAUUAUCUCGCUCUGUUUACAGCUCUGACGAGGACUUUGAUUACCUGCCGCUGAUUACAACCUUCUCAGGGCACUCAUGACGUCACCAGACGAGCGCGCCCUGGAGGAGCUGCUGUGCGGCAGUGACCUUGGUGACGAG